GUGAGAAUUACACUAAGCUGAGGAAUAUUGUAUGUGUGUCUGGAUGUUCGUCUGUCGUGUAAACCAGGUGAGUUUUGGACUGUGGAGAGGUUACAGUCGGCCGGUACAGGUACAGUAAGGUACAGACGUAUUGUACAGGUAAGUUGAGAUGUUUAAUUACAGGUACAGUACGUUACAGGUGUGUUAAUUUAGGUAUUAUUACAGGUACAGUAGGUUACAGGUGUGUUAAUUUAGGUAUUAUUACAGGUACAGUAGGUUACAGGUGUAUUAAUGUAGGUAUUAUUACAGGUACGGUAGGUUACAGGUAUUUAAAGUACAGGUUAAUGAUUCUACAGUUAUUUAGGUUAUUUUAGCUACAGGUAAUACAGUUUUUAUUAUGGAUUUCACGUUAGAAUUACAGGAAAGUGAAAUAUUUUAGUUAUGGUUGAAAUGUAAACAAAGUAGCCGGUCGUUGAUUGGCUGACGUGUCCACCAAUGAAGGUCACUCACGCUCGCCUUCCAUUCACAAGAUUGGGUGAAUGGCUGGUGCCUCUCUCAUCCCCGUGAAGAUGUCUUGGGUAGGUGUUGUAUCAAAUAUCUUGGUGUAGUUUAGGAUGCUUGGACUUGUUUUGGUGUCUUGAAUCUGUCUUCUAAGAUAUCUACGGAGGAUUAGAGAGAGUUUUUAGUGGUUAAGGAUGAUUAUAAUUACGAUUUAAUAGUGUCUUUGAAGAUGUCUAUACAUGAUUUGAUAGUGUCUUUGAAGAUGUCUAUACAUGAUUUGAUAGUGUCUUUGAAGAUGUCUAUAUUUAAAUUCGAAUGUGUUAAUUGCUUCUCAGUAUUGCAAAUUCGUUCUCAGGUUAUUUUAAAUGACGAAUAACAAGCUUUUAUAGUAUUUAGUGCUUGUUGGAAGAGAGCAUCAAUAUAUGAGUGAAUAUCUGUCAUUUAAUUGGUCUAGCGAGCGUCACAACAUAAGGCUUAGUUACCCCGGGGAAGAGUCAUUACAGAAAACGGGUGGAGAGAAAACGGCUAAAUUAUAUCUCUUGUUUGUUCUCAAGGUCAAAUAAAGGUUCUGGAGGAUAGCUGGGGGGUAGGAUUAUAGCUGAAGAUAGCUUACAUCUUGCACAGUUUAGUUUAAGCCGUCAGCAAGGUGAUAUAAACAGUAUCUGGAGGGAGGAGGAGGAGGUGUUUACAUGGUGCAGUGUUGCCAGAUGUCUUAUGCUCCCAAGGUCAUAAAUUUUCCAUACAAGAUAUUUAUUUUAUAUAUUUUUCUUCUAUUUUGUGAUGUGAGAACGUAUCUAACUGACUUAUUUAAGCUACCACACAAAGAUAGAUUCUCAAAGGUUCCUACAUUAAAGAGAAAGAGAGAGAAAGAGAGAUGUCAUAAGAUAAUUCCCAAUAAAGUCAUCAAUUACUCGUGGAAGUCAUUGUAAUAGAUAUCUAAACCUAACCUAAGACAUCUCGGCAUAUAUAGAGAUGUAGCCGGGGCAGUAAACCGUACCCACCCCUAGUCCAAGGUGGUCAGGGCUGCGUCUACCAUCAGUUCAUGGACUUCUAUCUCUCUGGAUGGUGUCUCGGGGCCGUCUCUCGUCUCUCACUAGUGAUUCUAUGUCUCUCAGGUCUCUUAUUAAGGGAGAUAUAAUGACUUGAGAGAUAAAUAGUGAGAGAUUAUGGCCUUGUGUUUAUAAUAGGCAUAGUGGCUGGGAAAUAUUGCCAAUUAUAAUAUCUCCAGUGAUUGGUGAUUGGUGUUAAUUAUCACCAUUGCAACAGUGAUUUUCUCGGUGAUUGCAAGAUGAUUAGUAGUGACCUUGGUGAUUAAAUGUGACCUUAGUGGGUUUGGUGUGUCUAAUGAGUCGUAGAUCGUAUAUGGUAAUUUAUUAUAAUGUUGUGGGGAGGAAUUUUCAACUAAUUGUAUGUUUAAUCGUAAAAAAUAACACCAAUUUAUUCCUAAAAAAUAAAUAAAGCAAAAAAAAAAAAGUUCUGAUAUUUUUGACGUGAGAAAAAAUCAUUAUAAUUUAUGAUAUAAUUAUACAAGAAACAUCUAAGUGUAUUACCUAUUUCCUCUAUUAUAACUAUCACCCAUUGACCCAUUAACAGCCCAUUAGGUAGUUAAAACAGGUUAAAUAUAUGAGGAUGAACGAGGGAGUUAUAGUAGGUCUUUAUAAGGGAAUAUUCUCACAAGAUGGAACAACAGAAUGCAACCUUAUUUAACACCAUAAACUAACAUUAUUAAUUAACUUCCUGGUGUUGGGGGGUAGUUUAACACGUGUAAUUUAACAUGAGGGAGAUAUUAGUAGGGUUAGGUUAGGUUUAGAUAGUUUAAAUAGUGUUUUAGAUCACAUGUGGUUUAGUGAGUCGGGGGAUAUUAUUGGAACCGCCGUGACCGUGUCCAUAACUCACCUACUGAUUUGGAGUAAAGUUAUUGCUUAUAAAAGAUGAAAAACAAUAUAAUUUUAAGCAUUUAUAUAUGAAUAAAUUAUUUUUGAUAUAUUUAAGUAACUUGUAUUUACUUAUAGUCGAUGUAAAAUGAGGAAAUAAUGUUUUGAUGAAAGCAUUUACGGUUUUAUGGCAUACGUUAAUAUUUAGUUUAUACUGAUUAAAUUAUUCGCCAGAUUAUAAUCCAAACCUCAAUUAAUCCGUCAAUAAUUAACCCUAAUUAAAUAAUCCACUAUAUAUUAAUCCCAAUCUAUAAAUAAUCCAUCAAAUCCUAAUCGAGUAUAUUAAAAUCCAGAUUAAAUCCUAAAAUACCGUUCGCGUAACACUCAUUAAUCCGACUUGGUAAACAAACUGGUCAGCGGAGAGAAUUAAGAAUCCGGAUUCAUGGUGGGCGUUUUUGAAAGUAUUUAAUAUGUCCUUCAGAUUUAAUAGGUCAGUGAUUUUUUAUUUUUAUUGGUGGUUAAUGUCGGCGUAGUGAUAUCUGAGUUGAGAGAGAGAGAGAGAGAGUGAGAGAGAGAGAGGUAGAGUGAGAGAGAGCGAUAUAUAAGUAAUAAUUAAUCCCUAAUGAGUGGCCUACAUAGUAUAAAUAUCCCCUAUGAGUGGCCCAUGUAUAAAAAUCCUCUAUGAGUGGCCCAUACAUAAGGUAAAAAUCCUCUAUGAGUGGCCCAAACAUUGUAAAAAUCCCCUCAGAGUGGCCCAUACAUAAGGUAAAAAUCCUCUAUGAGUGGCCCAAACAUUGUAAAAAUCCUUUAUGAGUGGCCCAUACAUAAGGUAAAAAUCCUCUAUGAGUGGCCCAAACAUUGUAAAAAUCCUUUAUGAGUGGCCCAAACAUUGUAAAAAUCCCCAAUGAGUGGCCCAUACAUAAGGUAAAAAUCCUCUAUGAGUGGCCCAAACAUUGUAAAAAUCCUCUUUGAGUGGCCCAAACAUUGUAAAAAUCCCCUCUGAGUGGCCUAUAUAGCCCUUUAAUCCCGUAGUCUAACGUAAACUAACCAUCUUACAAGAGGUAUUUAAACCGAGAAUAAUUUCGCUUUUAUUCCACCUAAAAUGCGAAAAAUAUCACCUACGCAUUUUAACAACUUUUCCUCUACGUGAAAUAGUUAAUGUGGAUGUUUUUUUUAAUAUGUAUUCAGUUUAAAAUCGUAAUUAAUGUGUGUUUCGUAAAUUUCAAGUCAUUUAUCCAUUAAUUUGUAAGUUAUGGUUCUUGAAUUA